rnacentral:rRNA from 1 species
UACGAAGGGGGCUAGCGUUGCUCGGAAUCACUGGGCGUAAAGCGCACGUAGGCGGAUAUUUAAGUCAGGGGUGAAAUCCCAGAGCUCAACUCUGGAACUGCCUUUGAUACUGGGUAUCUUGAGUAUGGAAGAGGUGAGUGGAAUUCCGAGUGUAGAGGUGAAAUUCGUAGAUAUUCGGAGGAACACCAGUGGCGAAGGCGGCUCACUGGUCCAUUACUGACGCUGAGGUGCGAAAGCGUGGGAGCAACAGG